rnacentral:rRNA from 1 species
CCUACGGGAGGCAGCAGUGAGGAAUAUUGGUCAAUGGACGAGAGUCUGAACCAGCCAAGUAGCGUGAAGGAUGACUGCCCUAUGGGUUGUAAACUUCUUUUAUAAAGGAAUAAAACGAGGCACGUGUGCCUUUUUGCAUGUACUUUAUGAAUAAGGAUCGGCUAACUCCGUGCCAGCAGCCGCGGUAAUACGGAGGAUCCGAGCGUUAUCCGGAUUUAUUGGGUUUAAAGGGAGCGUAGAUGGGUUGUUAAGUCAGUUGUGAAAGUUUGCGGCUCAACCGUAAAAUUGCAAUUGAUACUGGCAGUCUUGAGUACAGUUGAGGUAAGCGGAAUUCGUGGUGUAGCGGUGAAAUGCUUAGAUAUCACGAAGAACCCCGAUUGCGAAGGCAGCAUACUAAACUGUGACUGACAUUGAUGCUCGAAAGUGUGGGUAUCAAACAGGAUUAGAUACCCCUGUAGUC